rnacentral:misc_RNA from 1 species
CAGCAUUUCAAAUGGCUACUUCAGUAUCGAAUCAGUCCAUACUUCUGCAGGUGGGGCAACGGCAUGAGAGUUUUGACAUACACCUCACCAUGGCCAGCUGACCAUCCAAAAUCAGACGAGUAUUUCUCUGACCCUCGUCUUGCGGCAUAUGCUGUACCUAAUGGUCCGAUAGUCCCCUGCGGCGAUAUUGCGAAGGACUACUUACGAAGGGAGGUAGAGAUAUUAAGAACAAAAAAACAUUGGAGGAAAGCAUACUUCUAUCUGUGGGAUGAGCCUCUUAACAUUGAACAAUAUACUUCCCUCCGCCGCAUGGCCAGUGAUAUUCAUGCCUAUGCACCUGAUGCUCGUAUUCUGACAACUUAUUAUUGCGGACCAAGUGAUGCACCUCUUGCUACAAAUAACUUUGAGGCUUUUCUGAAAGUUCCUGCGUUCCUACGUCCUCAUACUCAGAUAUAUUGCACAAGCGAAUGGGUUAUUGGUAACAGAGAGGAUCUGGCGAAGGAUAUUAUCGCGGAGAUACAAACAGAAAACGGAG